rnacentral:tmRNA from 1 species
GGGGUCGAUCGGUAUUGACAGCGAGUGGAAUUAGUUAGUAAGCACGUCGAGCGUUGUUAUGUAGCUCGUAAAUAUCAUGUAACGACUUUUUUAAACGGCGAAGAAAACUACGCUUUAGCUGCAUAAUCUGAAUUAUAGUAAGAUUGCCUUUAGUUUCCACCAGGUGGAAGAGCUGAAUUCUCCUUAAGAGCCUUGGUUUGUGGCGCUUUGUUUAGGGGAACCGUAAAAUAGACCUAGAAGUAUUGAUAUCUCUAAGAUACUUCGAAAUUUUAGAGGUUAAGCUAAGAGUGGUUGUUUUUUGCCAAGCUCUUAGUCGAAAAUUUAAAAAGAAACUAAACGUGUAGAAAGCUUUCUGAUUGCUUGUUUGGACCCGAGUUCGAUUCUCGGCGACUCCACAG